rnacentral:rRNA from 1 species
GUGAGUUGYACUAGAAGUCGCCGAGCCAACCGCAAGGGGGCAAGCGCCCAAGGUAUGACUCAUGAUUGGGGUGAAGUCGUAACAAGGUAGCCGUAGGUGAACCUGCAGAAGGAUCA